rnacentral:lncRNA from 1 species
AGCAGGCAGUUCAGGAUGCUAAACGCUGGUUCUGCUGUGAAAUCUUUUGGGACAGCCAAGAGUGACCUUUCUAUGAUUGAGUCUUUGAGGGCUCUGAAAAUGUAACCUGUGUUUGGGCCUGAAGGUCUUUGUUUUACUUCAAAUGGACUGUUGGAGAAGGAUGAGUAGAAAAAUUGGACCUGGGACUCUUGAGCUCUUACCUCUGCCUUGGGAACAGGGAUGGUGCAAGGUGCUGAGCCGGGGACCCAGGAGCCUGCAGGCCUUGCCCUGCCAAAGGUAAUUCACAUUUCUCUUAC